GUGGGGAAUCUUGCGCAAUGGGCGAAAGCCUGACGCAGCCAUGCCGCGUGAAUGAUGAAGGUCUUAGGAUUGUAAAAUUCUUUCACCGGGGACGAUAAUGACGGUACCCGGAGAAGAAGCCCCGGCUAACUUCGUGCCAGCAGCCGCGGUAAUACGAAGGGGGCUAGCGUUGCUCGGAAUUACUGGGCGUAAAGGGCGCGUAGGCGGACAGUUUAGUCAGAGGUGAAAGCCCAGGGCUCAACCUUGGAAUUGCCUUUGAUACUGGCUGUCUUGAGUACGGGAGAGGUGAGUGGAACUCCGAGUGUAGAGGUGAAAUUCGUAGAUAUUCGGAAGAACACCAGUGGCGAAGGCGACUCACUGGCUCGAUACUGACGCUGAGGUGCGAAAGCGUGGGGAGCAAACAGGAUUAGAAACCCCUGUAGUCC
rnacentral:rRNA from 1 species